rnacentral:lncRNA from 1 species
AUGGUAUCAGGCGUGUCCCGCACAGGUCCUUCCCUCCUGCUCCGAGUCCUGCUAUCUUCACAUCCCACAUCCGGACUUCUGGCCUCCUGGAGAAUUGUUUACCUGACACUCAGUGUCUCCAAAGAAAACAAGAUGAGUUUUGCAGAAAGACCCGUCAGGGAAACACGGAGUUGCCAUCUCUCUCCUGCUGGGACUCAUGAUACAAUCAGACUGCUGGGGAAGACAGCUUUAUCUCCCUGCCCCACCUCCCCCUCUGGCUCCUGCAGAAAGCAGACAAAGAGAAGAUGUCCAGAACGGAGAAGAUAACCGGAAUUCUGCUAGAAGUAAAAGGGAAUACAUGUGCAAUAAGAAGAAAUACUCCCAUUGUAAGAAACUCUCCGUUUUCCUGGGAGAAUGUGACCCCCAUAAAAGAUUCAGAAAUUUGCUACCAAUUCAGUAACGGCCUCUGACUUUCCUAGGACGCAGAUGCCUAGAGCCGAGCAUCAUACAGGUUGUGAGCAGAGGGGAUUUUUGUAUUGUCAACUUCUCUGCAUUUUUCACUCCCAAGUUCAUUGGAUUGUUCACCAGAAUCUGUCUUUUUCUUUCCUUUUCCAGUUUGGCCUCUGUGCAUCUCCCUUUGGGCUUUGACCAUGAGGUCUUAGCUCCUGACA